GUGGCGGCGGUGCUCUCCGUUUUACUUUCUUAGUUUUUGUUUGAGUUCCGGAGAUGUUGUCUUUUUGGAGGUGGAUGAUUUUCAGUUUGCGCGUAUCUCAUCGUGGAGCGCAUGAUUGAACAUUUUCGAUACGUUGGAUAUGAUCAAGAGUUAGUGGAUAUCAGUUUGUGUGACAAUUCUAAUUGCUUAAUUUUUUUACAGUUUCGCUUGAUGGUUUUUACGUCUUGGACAAGAGGUGAACUUUCCGCACAGACGAUUCCUCGUGUGGUAGUUGACGUGGACCGAAGUUUGGAGUUGAAAGUGAAACAACUGUCUAAACUGCACUUCGACGUAAAAGAGAGCGUAACAGACUAUUAGACUGAUGACGAUAUGAUGAACACCAUAUUGACUGUGUCUUCGGGACUUUAAUGGAACCUCUGAAACUGAUACAAUACGAGACUUCGAUGAAAUUCUUCAUCGAAAGAGAAUUGCCUAUAAUUGCUUCACAACAGUUAAAACACUUGACUUCAUUGUGCGAUGGUUGCCCUUCGCGGCAAGAAUGCGGGGUGUUUAGGAGCAUUCGCUUAAAGUAGAGAAGUCAUUAAAACUUAUAUUUUCUAUUUGUGAUCGCCAAGAAAACUACAUGAUAAAAUUUCUGAAAGUAAUUCUUUCAAGAUUUUUUAUGUUAACAAGGAGCCUGUACUAGCGGUAACUUGAUGAAAUUUGAAGAUUUUCAAACGUUUUAAUCAUGGUGAUGAUUUUUAUAGUCGUUGGAGGUGGUCGUAGUUUAGAGGCAUCAAGUUUAGAGGUUGGAUCGAUAGGUACAACACAUGAUUUUGCGAGCGUGUUUUUGACCAUAGUCGCGUAGGAUCUGUGAGUUCCCUCAAUCUAACGAACUUCAAUAUUUGAUAGGAAAUUGGCGAAGUGAAUCUUAAGUGACGAAAAGGUUAACUUCUAAUCAGCGAGAAGGAUGUAAUUUGAUUUGACCUCAUUCUAAUCCAGCCACUUAUGUCUCAAACUCGCUAUAUUUUUUCUGUGGAUGCAGAUGUGAGACCCUAUCAAGCAAAUUCAUGAACUCUGUCAAUGUUGUUGCAGACCUGAGGCUGCACAGGGAGCCUUUACACUUGGGCUCAAUGCUGAAAUGAUUCUGCCUGAUGCUUCAUCACUUUUGUGGAAAGAAAAGUCUUUUUUUUGUUAUUAAUUACAGAAAAAAUGCACAAGAUCAGGUACUUUGGAAAGUGCUGAAAUAGAAAUUACUUGCAUGAUUUUGAUUUUGGGAUAAGCUGGAUAGAUUGAUUAUCGGAACUUCAUGCAGAUAUC